rnacentral:sRNA from 1 species
AAAAUUUUAAAAACGUUGCACAAUCGUCGCAAAUCAGUCGCAACUCGGUUACGCAAACGUCGCAAAGUGUGACUAUUUUGUAACUAUUAGUAAAACGUCACAAGAAA